GGGUGAGUAACGCGUAAGUAAUCUACCCUGGCAUCUGGAAUAACCCACCGAAAGGUGUGCUAAUACCGGAUACGCUGAUUUAUCAGGAAAGGUGGCCUCUUCAUGAAAGCUACUGUGCUGGGAGGAGCUUGCGUACCAUUAGCUAGUUGGUGGGGUAAUGGCCUACCAAGGCGACGAUGGUUAGCGGGUCUGAGAGGAUGAUCCGCCACACUGGAACUGGAACACGGACCAGACUCCUACGGGAGGCAGCAGUGAGGAAUAUUGCGCAAUGGGGGAAACCCUGACGCAGCGACGCCGCGUGGAUGAUGAAGGCCUUCGGGUCGUAAAAUCCUGUCAGAUGGAAAGAAAUGCCAGAUGUCUAAUAUAUGUCUGGUUUGACGGUACCAUCAAAGGAAGCACCGGCUAACUCCGUGCCAGCAGCCGCGGUAAUACGGAGGGUGCAAGCGUUGUUCGGAAUUACUGGGCGUAAAGCGCGCGUAGGCGGCUAUUUAAGUCAGAUGUGAAAGUCCACGGCUCAACCGUGGAAGUGCAUUUGAUACUGGGUAGCUUGAGUACUGGAGGGGAUGGUGGAAUUCCCGGUGUAGAGGUGAAAUUCGUAGAUAUCGGGAGGAAUACCGGUGGCGAAGGCGACCAUCUGGCCAGAUACUGACGCUGAGGUGCG
rnacentral:rRNA from 1 species